CUACGACUAAACGAAAUUUCUCGUUGUCGUCGAGCAGCGAUCUAUGGCUAAACGGAAUAUUUCGUUGUCGUCGAGCAGCGAUCGAAGACACGAAAUAUUUCGUUGUUGUCGAGCAGCGAUCGAAGACG